AUUGAACGCUGGCGGCAUGCCUUACACAUGCAAGUCGAACGGCAGCACGGGAGCAAUCCUGGUGGCGAGUGGCGAACGGGUGAGUAAUAUAUCGGAACGUGCCCAGUCGUGGGGGAUAACGUAGCGAAAGCUACGCUAAUACCGCAUACGAUCUAUGGAUGAAAGCGGGGGAUCGCAAGACCUCGCGCGAUUGGAGCGGCCGAUAUCAGAUUAGGUAGUUGGUGAGGUAAAGGCUCACCAAGCCGACGAUCUGUAGCCGGUCUGAGAGGACGACCAGCCACACUGGGACUGAGACACGGCCCAGACUCCUACGGGAGGCAGCAGUGGGGAAUUUUGGACAAUGGGCGCAAGCCUGAUCCAGCAAUGCCGCGUGCAGGAUGAAGGCCUUCGGGUUGUAAACUGCUUUUGUACGGAACGAAACGGCGAGCUCUAAUACAGUUUGCUAAUGACGGUACCGUAAGAAUAAGCACCGGCUAACUACGUGCCAGCAGCCGCCGCGG
rnacentral:rRNA from 1 species